AUUGAACGCUGGCGGCAGGCCUAACACAUGCAAGUCGAGCGGAUGAAGGGAGCUUGCUCCUGGAUUCAGCGGCGGACGGGAGAGUAAUGCCUAGGAAUCUGCCUGGUAGUGGGGGAUAACGUCCGGAAACGGGCGCUAAUACCGCAUACGUCCUGAGGGAGAAAGUGGGGGAUCUUCGGACCUCACGCUAUCAGAUGAGCCUAGGUCGGAUUAGCUAGUUGGUGGGGUAAAGGCCUACCAAGGCGACGAUCCGUAACUGGUCUGAGAGGAUGAUCAGUCGCACUGGAACUGAGACACGGUCCAGACUCCUACGGGAGGCAGCAGUGGGGAAUAUUGGACAAUGGGCGAAAGCCUGAUCCAGCCAUGCCGCGUGUGUGAAGAAGGUCUUCGGAUUGUAAAGCACUUUAAGUUGGGAGGAAGGGCAGUAAGUUAAUACCUUGCUGUUUUGACGUUACCAACAGAAUAAGCACCGGCUAACUUCGUG
rnacentral:rRNA from 1 species